CCUACGGGAGGCAGCAGUGGGGAAUAUUGCACAAUGGGGGAAACCCUGAUGCAGCGACGCCGCGUGAGUGAAGAAGUAUUUCGGUAUGUAAAGCUCUAUCAGCAGGGAAGAAAAUGACGGUACCUGUUUAAGAAGCCCCGGCUAACUAUGUGCCAGCAGCCGCGGUAAUACGUAGGGGGCAAGCGUUAUCCGGAUUUACUGGGUGUAAAGGGAGCGUAGACGGCAGCACAAGUCUGGAGUGAAAUGCCGGGGCUUAACCCCGGAACUGCUUUGGAAACUGUGCAGCUAGAGUGCAGGAGAGGUAAGUGGAAUUCCUAGUGUAGCGGUGAAAUGCGUAGAUAUUAGGAGGAACACCAGUGGCGAAGGCGGCUUACUGGACUGUAACUGACGUUGAGGCUCGAAAGCGUGGGGAGCAAACAGGAUUAGAUACCCUAGUAGUC
rnacentral:rRNA from 1 species